AUUGAACGCUGGCGGCAUGCUUUACACAUGCAAGUCGAGCGGCAGCGCGGGGGCAACCCUGGCGGCGAGCGGCGAACGGGUGAGGAAUACAUCGGAACGUACCCCGGAGUGGGGGAUAACGCCGCGAAAGCGGCGCUAAUACCGCAUAUGCUCUGAGGAGGAAAGUGGGGGACCGCAAGGCCUCACGCUCUGGGAGCGGCCGAUGUCCGAUUAGCUAGUUGGUGGGGUAAUGGCUUACCAAGGCGACGAUCGGUAGCUGGUCUGAGAGGAUGAUCAGCCACACUGGGACUGAGACACGGCCCAGACUCCUACGGGAGGCAGCAGUGGGGAAUUUUGGACAAUGGGGGCAACCCUGAUCCAGCCAUGCCGCGUGCGGGAAGAAGGCCUCGGU
rnacentral:rRNA from 1 species